GCCGGGAUGGCGGAACGGUAGACGCAACGGACUUAAAAUCCGUUGGAGCAAUGCUCCGUGCGGGUUCGAAUCCCGCUCCCGGUA
rnacentral:tRNA from 2 species